rnacentral:rRNA from 1 species
GGCAGGGUAAUGGCCUACCAAGGCGACGACGGGUAGGGGGCCUGAGAGGGUGACCCCCCACAUUGGCACUGACACACGGGCCAAACUCCUACGGGAGGCAGCAGUGAGGAAUAUUGCACAAUGGGCGAAAGCCUGAUGCAGCAACGCCGCGUGAGCGAUGAAGGCCUUCGGGUCGUAAAGCUCUUUUGAGAGGGACGAGAACGGACGGUACCUCUUGAAUAAGUCACGGCUAACUACGUGCCAGCAGCCGCGGUAAAACGUAGGUGGCGAGCGUUAUCCGGAUUCACUGGGCGUAAAGCGAGUGCAGGUGGCCCUGUAAGUUGGAUGUGAAAUUUCCUGGCUUAACUGGGAAAGGUCAUUCAAUACUGCAGGGCUUGAGGGUAGAAGAGGGGGGUGGAAUUGCCGGUGUAGUGGUGAAAUGCGUAGAUAUCGGCAGGAACACCAGUGGCGAAAGCGGCCCCCUGGUUUACUCCUGACACUCAGACUCGAAAGCUAGGGUAGCGAACGGGAUUAGAAACCCCGGUAGUCCUAGCCGUAAACGAUGGAUGCUAGGUGUAGGUGGUAUUGACCCCAUCUGUGCCGAAGCUAACGCGUUAAGCAUCCCGCCUGGGGACUACGGCCGCAAGGUUAAAACUCAAAGGAAUUGACGGGGACCCGCACAAGCAGCGGAGCGUGUGGUUUAAUUCGAUCUACACGAAGAACCUUACCCAGGUUUGACAUACAGGUAGUAGUGAAGCGAAAGCGGAACGACUCGCAAGAGAGCCUGCACAGGUGCUGCAUGGCUGUCGUCAGCUCGUGCCGAGAGGUGUUUGGUUAAGUCCACUAACGAGCGCAACCCUUGUCGUCAGUUACAUGUGUCUGACGAGACUGCCGGCCUUAAGCCGGAGGAAGGUGGGGAUGAUGUCAAGUCAGCAUGGCCUUUAUAUCUGGGGCUACACACACGCUACAAUGGCCGGUACAAUGGGUUGCCAACCCGCGAGGGGGAGCUAAUCCUCUAAAGCCGGUCUCAGUUCGGAUUGUAGGCUGCAACUCGCCUGCAUGAAGCCGGAGUUGCUAGUAAACGCGCGUCAGCUAUAGUGCGUUGAAUACGUUCCCGGGUCUUGUACACACCGCCCGUCACGUCAUGGGAGCUGGUAACACCUGAAGCCGGUACGCUAACGGCAAGGAAGCAGCCGUCGAGGGUGGGACUGGUGACUGGGAC